rnacentral:rRNA from 1 species
UGGGGAAUAUUGGACAAUGGGCGAAAGCCUGAUCCAGCCAUGCCGCGUGUGUGAAGAAGGUCUUCGGAUUGUAAAGCACUUUAAGCUGGGAGGAAGGGCAGUAAGCGAAUACCUUGCUGUUUUGACGUUACCGACAGAAUAAGCACCGGCUAACUCUGUGCCAGCAGCCGCGGUAAUACAGAGGGUGCAAGCGUUAAUCGGAAUUACUGGGCGUAAAGCGCGCGUAGGUGGUUAGUUAAGUUGAAUGUGAAAGCCCCGGGCUCAACCUGGGAACGGCAUCCAAAACUGGCGAGCUAGAGUAGGGCAGAGGGUGGUGGAAUUUCCUGUGUAGCGGUGAAAUGCGUAGAUAUAGGAAGGAACACCAGUGGCGAAGGCGACCAACUGGGCUCAUACUGACACUGAGGUGCGAAAGCGUGGGGAGCAAACAGG